rnacentral:tRNA from 1 species
GCGCCCUUAGUUUAAUGGUAAAACGAGGGUCUCCAAAACCUUUGUUGAGGGUUCGACUCCUUCAGGGCGCG